rnacentral:rRNA from 1 species
UACGUAGGGAGCAAGCGUUGUUCGGAUUUACUGGGCGUAAAGGGCGCGUAGGCGGCCACCGCAAGUCGACUGUGAAAUCUCCGGGCUUAACCCGGAAAGGUCAGCCGAUACUGCGGGGCUAGAGUGCAGAAGGGGCAACUGGAAUUCUCGGUGUAGCGGUGAAAUGCGUAGAUAUCGAGAGGAACACCUGCGGCGAAGGCGGGUUGCUGGGCUGACACUGACGCUGAUGUGCGAAAGCUAGGGGAGCGAACGGG